UUUAUUUUUUUUUUCAUCAGUGCAUUGCUGAAACUGCCCUACUCUCCACUACACCAGUAAAAGUUAAAUACGAUCCAUAUUUUCUCAAAGUUCAUAUCUCCACUGUUUCGUUUUAAAUAUAUUGUGAUAGUCCGUGAAAGAAUAUCACAUUUUAUUACUUUCAAAAGAAUCAAUUUUUGGAAUUUUUAAAAUUCGUCACUGCAUUCUACUGUUAAAUUGGAAAAAAAAACUUUAAACCCGACCAAAGCUCCGAGAGUUCUGGAAUAUUCUGGGGGUCUGAACAAAAAUGCUUUAUCUACAAAGACUUUUCGGAAAUUCGGAAAUAAUUCCAGGUGUAAAAGCUGAAACUCCUCUUCCAGAAAGAAAAAUAUAACAUUUCGGAAUGACACCGGACAAAGACAAACGUAUAUGUGUAUGUGGUUAAAGGAAUCACUUGCCGAAAUCGAAUGAGGAACGUAGCCGUUCGUAAGGAGCUAAGAGUCGAGGAGUUGCUUCUUCGGGUUGAGGUUGAGAGAUCACAACUUCAAUGGUAUGGGCAUGUUCAGCACAUGAAUUAGAGAAAUAUUACCCAGAAAAGCUAUGCAAGCUAUUGUGACUAGGACGAGGUGGCUGAAUCAAAUUCAGGAUCUUGCCUUGGAGCGCCUUGGAAUCGAAUCCGAAUAACUUCCUGAAGUUGAGGAGGACCGGCUGGCAUGGGCUGCUAACCUAGAUGUCCUAAACUCGCUACCCCAAUAGGGAUAAGCGGUUGAAAAUGAUGAUGAUUCUACACAAGAUUUA